CAACCCUCAAGCCCUGCUUGGUGUUGGGGCCCUACGCCUCGCGCGUAGGCCCUUAAAACUAGUGGCGGACCUCCAGUGAUCCCGAGCGUAGUAAUCUUUACCGCUUUGGAGGCCUGGAGGCGCCGGCCGUUAAACAUUCUAAUUAUCAA
rnacentral:misc_RNA from 1 species